rnacentral:lncRNA from 1 species
CUGGGAACAUGGCUGCAGACAUGGCCCUAGUGCUCAUUGCGGGGCUGAAGUUGCAGCCUGGAUGUUGCACAGGGCACUCACUGGCAGGACGAGGAGCCGUGAUGGUUCUGUGCCACCAAAUUUUACACUGGGUACCCAGACCUCAUUAACAGGAGUGAGAUGAUUGUGUGUGAGUGGGGGGCCCACCUCUGAGCCAUGCUCCCCUGCUUGUAUAUUCAGCUGUGGACUCACACGUUAAGCUCCCCCUCCACUGGAGCCCAAGCACCAUCCCUGCUGCCUUCUGAGCAGGAGGAAGGGCCAGCGCUGUGUCCUCAAUUCCUUGGACUCCCAGGGGUUCCUCCAACACCAGAACAUGGGCACAAGGCACACCAGUGCCCUACUACCCCAGUGCAUCACCAGCAGCCUCGCCCCCCAUGGCCGCCAGCACUCCCCAUCCCCUUGCAGCCCCUCACCCCUUGCAGCUCUCUGACAGCAGCCUCCUGCCGCAGAGCAGCCUCCAGGAGCAGAUGGAGGCAGGAUGGAGCCCGCCGGAGAUACUGACCACAUCUGCUCCUGCCUGGUCCAGGGAGCAGCGAUGCACUGUGCCGAAGCCUCUCAGGGCAGAUGGAAGGAGAACGCCUCCGCUGUGGUCAGUCCCUGAAGACAAAGUGGAUGCUGCUGGCACACUGGAAUGACGGCACGGGUUUGCUGACGGUUUUGCAUGGGAGCAUCGGUUGGGUUUACACCUACAAGUGCUUGGCUAUGGCAGCGGGGCAUCCCAUGGAAAGGCCAAAAAGCAGCAGAGAGAUCCAGGGAAGGAGGAGAUGGCACACGCUGCAAGCCUGUUCUCUGUCAGCGACGCUGCUGGGAGCACGGACACCCAUAGUGGAGCCAGCAGCUGAGGACAGCUCACAGGAGAGGAAAAAAAUGGAGCCAAGGAUGGCACUGUCUCUUUAAAAAUAAAUAAAUAGAUAAAGACUAAAAAAAAAAAAAAGAAAGAAAAAAUGCAAUAAGUAUAUGCAAAUGUGUUGAGCCGAACAUCGCUGUCUGUGAAACAGAUGAGGGAGAAAGUGCUUGAAGCUAGAGAGGAAUGAGGCAGCCAGCGCUGACCCCGGGGUUAAUAAUUUUUACUUCUCCAUCUCAUUCCCUCCAUAAAAAAG